GGGCAUGUGGUGUAAUAGCAACAUCCCGGACUCUCAUUAUCCGGCACCCGGAGUAGUCGGUUCGACCCCGACCAUGCCCA
rnacentral:tRNA from 1 species